rnacentral:rRNA from 1 species
GAUGAACGCUAGCGGCAGGCUUAAUACAUGCAAGUCGUGGGGCAGCGCAGGUAGCAAUACUGGGCGGCGACCGGCAAACGGGUGCGGAACACGUACACAACCUUCCGAGAAGUGGGGAAUAGCCCAGAGAAAUUUGGAUUAAUACCCCGUAAUAUAGUUGAAUGGCAUCAUUUGAUUAUUAUAGCUACGGCGCUUAAUGAUGGGUGUGCGGCUGAUUAGAUAGUUGGCGGGGUAACGGCCCACCAAGUCUACGAUCAGUAGCUGAUGUGAGAGCAUGAUCAGCCACACGGGCACUGAGACACGGGCCCGACUCCUACGGGAGGCAGCAGUAAGGAAUAUUGGUCAAUGGACGCAAGUCUGAACCAGCCAUGCCGCGUGAAGGAUUAAGGUCCUCUGGAUUGUAAACUUCUUUUAUUUGGGACGAAAAAGGGCCUUUCUAGGUCAACUGACGGUACCAGAUGAAUAAGCACCGGCUAACUCCGUGCCAGCCGCCGCCGUAA